rnacentral:rRNA from 1 species
AGUACGGCGAGUGAAGCGGCAACAGCUCAAAUUUGAAAUCUGGCUCUUUCAGAGUCCGAGUUGUAAUUUGCAGAGGGCGCUUUGGCAUUGGCAGCGGUCUAAGUUCUUUGGAACAGGACGUCACAGAGGGUGAGAAUCCCGUAUGUGGUCGCUAGCCUUUGCUGUGUAAAGCCCCUUCGACGAGUCGAGUUGUUUGGGAAUGCAGCUCUAAAUGGGAGGUAAAUUUCUUCUAAAGCUAAAUACUGGCCAGAGACCGAUAGCGCACAAGUAGAGUGAUCGAAAGAUGAAAAGCACUUUGGAAAGAGAGUCAAAUAGCACGUGAAAUUGUUGAAAGGGAAGCGCUUGCAGCCAGACUUGCCUGUAGUUGCUUAUCCGGACUUUUGUCCGGUGCACUCUUCUGCGGGCAGGCCAGCAUCAGUUUGGGCGGUUGGAUAAAGGUCUCUAUCACGUACCUCUCUUCGGGGAGGCCUUAUAGGGGAGACGUCAUGCAACCAGCCUGGACUGAGGUCCGCGCAUCUGCUAGGAUGCUGGCGUAAUGGCUGUAAGCGGCCCGUCUUGAAACACGGACCAAGGAGUCUAACAUCUAUGCGAGUGUUUGGGUGUCAAGCCCAUACGCGUAAUGAAAGUGAACGGAGGUGGGAACCCUUUGGGUGCACCAUCGACCGAUCCUGAUGUCUUCGGAUGGAUUUGAGUAAGAGCAUGGCUGUUGGGACCCGAAAGAUGGUGAACUAUGCUUGAAUAGGGUGAAGCCAGAGGAAACUCUGGUGGAGGCUCGCAGCGGUUCUGACGUGCAAAUCGAUCGUCAAAUUUGGGCAUAGGGGCGAAAGACUAAUCGAACUAUCUAGUAGCUGGUUCCUGCCGAAGUUUCCCUCAGGAUAGCAGUAACGUAUUCAGUUUUAUGAGGUAAAGCGAAUGAUUAGAGGCCUGGGGGUUGAAA